rnacentral:rRNA from 1 species
GACAGAGGGGGCAAGCGUUGUUCGGAAUCACUGGGCUUAAAGGGCGCGCAGGCGGGCUGUCAAGUCUGGGGUGAAAUCCCGCGGCUCAACCGUGGAACUGCCUCAGAUACUGACGGCCUCGAGGGAGGUAGGGGCGAGCGGAACGGAUGGUGGAGCGGUGAAAUGCGUUGAUAUCAUCCGGAACUCCGGUGGCGAAGGCGGCUCGCUGGACCUCUUCUGACGCUGAGGCGCGAAAGCUAGGGGAGCAAACGGG